rnacentral:rRNA from 1 species
AUGUACAUUCCUACAACAUAGUGUAAUGCAUCAAAUCCCAUUAGAACUCCGCAGUUAAGCAUGCUCGGACUAGAGUAGUACUAGGUGGGUGAUUGCCUGGGAAGUCCUAGUAUUUUACAUG